rnacentral:rRNA from 1 species
UACGUAGGGUGCAAGCGUUGUCCGGAAUUAUUGGGCGUAAAGAGCUCGUAGGCGGUCUGUUGCGUCGGCUGUGAAAACCCGGGGCUCAACUCCGGGCCUGCAGCCGAUACGGGCAGACUAGAGUUCGGCAGGGGAGACUGGAAUUCCUGGUGUAGCGGUGAAAUGCGCAGAUAUCUGGAGGAACACCAGUGGCGAAGGCGGCAUCCUGGACCGGUAUUGACGCUGAGGCGCGAAAGCUAGGGUAGCAAACGGG